rnacentral:rRNA from 1 species
AGUGAACGCUGGCGGUAGGCCUAACACAUGCAAGUCGAACGGCAGCACAGUAAGAGCUUGCUCUUACGGGUGGCGAGUGGCGGACGGGUGAGGAAUACAUCGGAAUCUACUUUUUCGUGGGGGAUAACGUAGGGAAACUUACGCUAAUACCGCAUACGACCUACGGGUGAGAGCAGGGGACCUUCGGACCUCGCGCGAUCGAAUGAGCCGAUGUCGGAUUAGCUAGUUGGCGGGGUAACGGCCCACCAAGGCGACGAUCCGUAGCUGGUCUGAGAGGAUGAUAAGCCACACUGGAACUGAGACACGGUCCAGAUCCCUACGGGGGGCAGCGGUGGGAAAUAUUGGACAAUGGGCGAAAGCCUGAUCCAGCCAGACCGCGUGGGUGAAGAAGGCCUUCGAGUUGUAAAGCCCUUUUGUUGGGAAAGAAAGGAAGCAGGUUAAUCCCCCGCUGUUCUGACGGUACCCAAAGAAAAAGCACCGGCUACCUUCGU